CUUAUGAGCAUAUAACCAUAUUUAUAAAUUUGUGAUCAAGUAGGUUGUGAAUGUAUGUUAUAUGCUUAUAUGUAUACAUAUCUAUGAAUAUAUUUGGUAUUCGCAAAACACUUCACACUUAAAACCUUGUUACCCAUAACAUCUCAUUUAAUCCUUAUACCAAGUUUAUGAGAUGAACAGUAUCGACAGCCAGCAGGUGAGGACUGUAAAUCUCAGAAGUUGGUAGACUGGCUGUUAUCAAUCGAGCUAAACAGUGACAGUGACAGAACUUACACCCCGGACUUGUAAUAACAACCCCAGGGCACUUUGGGACUAUGUCACAAUGGCCCCCAUUCUAGUGAGACAGUGAUGUCACUGAAGUAAUUUCUGCAACAGAUGGGGGAAGAGGCCAGGCCACCGAGGGUCACAGGAGGUUUUUGAGCAGAUCAGAAGCCUGAUCAAAGGCUUGCUGUGGGAAGAUUGAUCUGGUGCCUGGACCCAGGCAGGAAAGCCCUGCUGGGAACCAUCCUGCCCCUCUGGACUCCUGUGGCUCUUUGUUUAUGCUCCUGGAGCAGUGUUGGUCUGCUGUUGCAGGCUGCUUGUUUAUUUAUUUACUCCUAUCCUACAACUUACUCCCUACUGCAGAGUCAUCAGGAUUUAAGAAGACUGUGAUUGGCUAUUUCAGAACCAUGUUCAGACAGCCGUAUCUUAAGCAUGUCCACUCGCUGGUAGGGCCGGAGCAUAGACAGUGUCAAUUCUGAAUCUUCAGGCCGACUGCGUGUUUGAGCUACACAGCAGGCAGGCAGAAGGACCCUACAUCCAGCCUCCACUGCCAAUUAGUUCAGAAUAUCCUAGCGCAUAAGGCAAAAUACCAGGGACUGGGGUGAGUGGACCUUAAUCUGUUAUGUACCAGGUGUGUGCAGGUGCACAGAGAGACCAGAAGAGGGCGCCAGGUCUUCUAGACCCUGAGAUACUGGCAAACAGUUGUGAACUGCUGACCUGCGAGCUGGGAACCCAAGUCAGGUCUCCCAAAGGAUCAUUAAGUGUUCUUUACUGCUCAGCCAUCUCUCCAGCAUGAAAUAUAUUUUUAAAAGGAUUCUGAUUAAUGAUAAUAUAUCUAUCCCUUAACUUUAAAAAGAAAAAGCAAUUAUUCUUAAUAAGCCAGGGCACACAUGCAUCAGAAAUUCCCUAAAGAUCUUGGAAUAGAAUAAUCUAAAAUAUAUUUAAACACCAGUAGGAUCAAUUUUCAGACUUGGGUGUCAUUCAAAUUGACUUUAUGUUAGCAUAUUUUUCUGUGUGAGAAAAAUUGUGUCAGAAAUAAAAAAAAAACCAUUUCUGUGUAAAUAUCCCAAAGGAAUAACCAUGUUAAUAAUUCUUAUAAAAUUGUGGUUAUAUGACAGACAAUUACUUUACACCAUUCAGGCUUUUUUAUCCCCACUGAGUAUUGUUUAAUACUUCGGUCCCAGGAAACUGCAACAGCCACAAAGGGCUAAUAAAACGACCGGUAUCAAAAUA